rnacentral:lncRNA from 1 species
GGGGGGACCUGAGGGAAUGAGGACCCUGGGAGAUACUGGGUGCUGGAGUUUGCAUGCCAGGACCGAGUGUCCUUCUGGGGCAGGAAUGGCGUGGCCCUGUAGGUCGGGGGACUGCCUUUGCUCAGUCCUUUGGGUGUUUCAGGAAGUUCAACUAGCCCCAGGGCAGUAGGCAACCAAGGGAAACCCAGGAGGGAGGAGAGAAUCUGGAAACAGGUGUUGGGAGAGGAGGCAGGGGUAGCAGGAGGGAGGCCUAGAGGGACCUAGGGGAAAUUGUACUCAGUAAUCACUCUGGCACAGGCCUGGGGCUGGACCUCUCUACAAAUUAACUCACUUCAUUGAGAAGUGCUAUUAUGAGCCCCACUUCAUACAGGCUGAAACCAAGGCAUAGAAAGACAAGUUAAUUUUCCAGAAG